GGAAAGGUACUCAAGUGGUUAAGAGGGUGUCCUGCUAAGACACUAGGGGUGAAAGCCUGCGUGAGUUCGAACCUCACCCUUUCCG
rnacentral:tRNA from 1 species